UACGUAGGUGGCAAGCGUUAUCCGGAUUUACUGGGUGUAAAGGGCGUGUAGGCGGGACUGCAAGUCAGAUGUGAAAACCACGGGCUCAACCUGUGGCCUGCAUUUGAAACUGUAGUUCUUGAGUACUGGAGAGGCAGACGGAAUUCCUAGUGUAGCGGUGAAAUGCGUAGAUAUUAGGAGGAACACCAGUGGCGAGGGCGGUCUGCUGGACAGCAACUGACGCUGAGGCGCGAAAGCGUGGGGAGCAAACAGG
rnacentral:rRNA from 1 species